rnacentral:rRNA from 1 species
UACGUAGGGUGCAAGCGUUGUCCGGAAUUAUUGGGCGUAAAGAGCUCGUAGGCGGUCUGUCGCGUCUGCCGUGAAAGUCCGGGGCUUAACCCCGGAUCUGCGGUGGGUACGGGCAGACUAGAGUGCAGUAGGGGAGACUGGAAUUCCUGGUGUAGCGGUGAAAUGCGCAGAUAUCAGGAGGAACACCGAUGGCGAAGGCAGGUCUCUGGGCUGUAACUGACGCUGAGGAGCGAAAGCAUGGGGAGCGAACAGG